rnacentral:rRNA from 1 species
UAUCAUCUGCCUGGUACGGGGGACAACGUUCUUUCAGGAGCGCUAAUACCGCAUACGUCCUACGCGAGACAGUGCGGUAUCUUCGGACAUCACGCUAUCUGAUGAGCCUAGGUCGGAUUAGCUAGUUGGUGAGGUAAAGGCUCACCAAGGCGACGAUUCGUAUCUGGUCUGAGAGGAUGAUCAGUCACACUGGAACUGAGACACGAUCAAAAUC